UACGUAGGGUGCGAGCGUUAAUCGGAAUUACUGGGCGUAAAGCGUGCGCAGGCGGUUUUGUAAGCCAGAUGUGAAAUCCCCGGGCUUAACCUGGGAAUGGCAUUUGGGACUGCAAGGCUUGAGUGCGGCAGAGGAGACUGGAAUUCCUGGUGUAGCAGUGAAAUGCGUAGAUAUCAGGAGGAAUACCGAUGGCGAAGGCAGGUCUCUGGGCUGACACUGACGCUGAGGAGCGAAAGCGUGGGGAGCAAACAGG
rnacentral:rRNA from 1 species